CCACAUUUAAUUUAACAACCUCUCUUGCAUGGGAGGAAUACAAAUAAGUUGUAUAUGGAAUAUUGUACAAACAACAUUCUCUCAAUAUUCUCCAGAUAGAAGAUCAAUAUUGUAUUCACCACUUCUCCAAGAGAGAAUACAUUUUUAUCAUGGUCAAUUUUAUUUUCCAUUUUUCCCUCAAAAUAAUGCAUGAUUUCUUAACAUAAACAUAACCGUUUCAAUUAAGGAAGACCUGCAAGCCUUUUAACAGAAAAUUGUUCACCCAUGUUGAAUUGCUACAUUUUCCAUAUAAGCAUACAAGACACAUUUAACAUCAUCUAAGAUGUGUUGCAUCAGAUUCAAGGUGCGUGAUACAAUGAUAAAAAUGGUACCAGACUAAACAAACGCCGCUAUUCAGUCUCUACAACAUAGUCUUAAUUCUAAAGAAAAUUAUUCAAAACACAGCACCAACACGGGUCAUAGAAAGCUCAAUCAAUGCUAAUCCAAGAGAAUACAGCUUGAAACCAAUUGAAAUAUUCUAAAUUU
rnacentral:lncRNA from 1 species